AUGCAGGCCUGCACUUGCGGAGCAUCGAGGAGCCGAGGAUGACGGCGGAAACGGCGGGUCCUUGCGUACAAGGAAUACAGGGCGUCCAGAGCGGCGUAGCGAGUCAAAAUAUGCUGCAACAGGUGCAGGAUGGAAACAGUGGUGGCGGCGGCGGCGGUUAUUAUUCCUCGACUUGGACAGCGUACGAUCCAGAAUACGCCCGUAUGGAGGCUUGGCUUGACGAGCAUCCUGACUUCGUUAACGAUUACUUUCUCAGGAAAGUGACACGGCAGACCGUCGACAUAUGGCUGGUAUCACAUGCAACGCCAACCUCAUCAUCGAGUAGUUGCGUAGAGCUUUCGAGUCCAAUCCAUGCCGCAGCCGGCAACUCAACCUCUGGACGAGGUGCUGGUGGCUCGGGCGCUACGACACCGGUACGCAAAAUCUCGGCACACGAGUUCGAGCGUGGAGGCCUUCUAAAGCCGAUCGUCAACACAAUCGAUGGUACGCCAACCUUUUUGAGCGUAUCGAUGAGUGACGCGAGUCAGCCGGGUGGGCCACAGGUCGGAUCCGGUAAUUCCAAUCGCCCACAAAGACGGUCACGUCACGAGCUUAGGCACCUCGACGAGAAAGACCUUAUUUUCGAGCUGGUCAAAGACAUCUGCAAUGAGUUGGAUGUGAGAUCAUUGUGUCACAAGAUCCUGCAGAAUGUGAGCACACUUCUUCACGCCGAUCGCGGCUCGCUGUUCCUUGUCCAGGGAGAGAGAAGCGGUACCGCCGUUGCCACCGCUGCUGCUGCUGCCGUUAUCACCACUAAUGCGCCACCCUCUCCGAAUCACGAGGUCGCCGCGAAUAAUUCCAACAACGAAAAUAAUCUACAACGUAACGAUCAAUCCUAUUUGAGGAGCAGAUGUCUGGUGUCAAAAUUAUUCGAUGUCUGUUCAAGAUCGACAUUAAUGGAGAUGGAAAAGAAAGAUGAAAUUAAAAUUCCCUGGGGUACCGGAAUCGUCGGAUACGUCGCUGAAAGUGGGGAACCCGUCAACAUACCAGAUGCUUACAAGGAUUCGAGGUUUAAUUGUGAAAUUGACGCUUUAACGGGAUACCGUACGCGUGCCUUGCUGUGCAUGCCUAUUAAAGAUUGCAACGGUGAUGUAAUCGGAGUGGCACAGGUGAUCAACAAGCUUGGCGGCGAAGGACAAUUUACUGCGCAAGAUGAAAAGGUUUUCGCUGGUUAUUUACAGUUUUGUGGUAUCGGUUUAAGAAAUGCUCAACUUUACGAAAAGAGCCAAUUAGAGGUGAAGAGAAAUCAGGUUUUAUUGGAUUUGGCUAGAAUGAUUUUCGAGGAACAAAGUACGAUAGAGCACAUGGUUUUUAGAAUUCUCACGCAUACGCAAUCAUUGAUUCAAUGCCAACGUGUUCAGGUGUUGCUCGUGCACAAAGCUUCAAAGGGAAGUUUCUCGCGCGUUUUUGAUUUCGAAGCGAAUGAUCUCGCUGGCGAGGAUUCUGAUUCUCGCACUAGUCCUUUCGAGAGUAGAUUUCCUAUUAAUGUUGGUAUUACGGGUUAUGUAGCAACUACCGGUGAAACUGUCAAUAUAUUGAAUGCUUACGAAGAUCCGAGAUUCGAUCCACUGGUGGACGAUGGCACCGGUUUUAGGCAUCGAACAAUUCUUUGUAUGGCCAUCAAGAAUUCAUCCGGUCAAAUAAUAGGCGUCAUUCAACUAAUUAAUAAAUUCGACGAUCUCCCUUUUACAAAGAACGAUGAAAAUUUUGUUGAAGCAUUUGCGAUCUUCUGCGGAAUGGGAAUUCAUAAUACGCACAUGUAUGAAAAGGCUAUAAUAGCGAUGGCAAAACAAAGCGUCACUUUAGAAGUAUUGAGUUAUCAUGCAUCAGCAUCAUUAGAGGACGCGCAAAGAUUGAAGAAUUUAAGAGUCCCGUCAUCAGCGCAUUUUCAAUUGCACGAUUUCAAAUUUGACGAUAUACAUAUGGAAGAUGGCGACACUCUUACUGCGUGUCUCAGGAUGUUUCUCGAUUUGGACUUUGUUGAACGAUUUCACAUCGAUUAUGACGUACUUUGUCGUUGGUUGUUGAGCGUAAAGAAAAACUAUCGAAACGUUACGUAUCAUAAUUGGCGGCAUGCUUUUAACGUAGCCCAAAUGAUGUUUGCUAUUUUAACGGCUACGCAAUGGUGGAAAAUCUUUGGUGAAAUUGAAUGUCUUGCCCUCAUUAUUGCCUGUUUGUGUCAUGAUCUCGAUCAUCGUGGAACAAACAAUUCUUUUCAAAUUAAAGCUUCAUCACCGUUGGCACAGCUGUAUUCAACUUCAACAAUGGAACAUCAUCACUUUGAUCAGUGUUUGAUGAUUUUGAGCAGCCAGGGCAAUCAAAUCUUAUCAAAUCUUUCACCAGAAGAAUAUUCGCGCGUGGUAAAGGUUCUUGAAGAAGCGAUACUUUCUACUGAUCUGGCAGUUUACUUCAGAAAACGUGGCGCUUUUCUUAAUUUAGCACGCAGUGGUGGCUAUAACUGGGCAUUUGGUGAUCAUCGAGAGCUUCUACGCGGGAUGUUGAUGACAGUCUGUGAUUUAGCCGCCAUUACGAAACCAUGGGAGGUUGAAAAGAGAGUAGCCGAACUCGUUAGUAGCGAGUUUUUCGAACAGGGCGACAUAGAAAGGCGAACACUCAACAUUACACCUAUUGACAUUAUGAAUCGAGAGAAAGAGGAUCAACUACCGAUGAUGCAAGUUGGUUUCAUUGAUUCGAUCUGUCUACCCAUCUAUGAGGGUAUGUAAAAAAAAAUGUGGAAGGGAACACUGUUUAAAAGAAGAGCUUCAAGCAACGUUCGCAUCAGUCGUUCAGAGAGCUUUAAUAGAGUUCAGACAGCUAUAUAUAAUUAUACGUUUCUCCGAGAGAAUAAAAUAUCUCAAGCCAUGAACUAUUACGUUCCAAUUCAACAAAAUGAGGCGUGCAAGAGACAUCUAGUACAUCUUCGAAACUUCGCUACAUGCUUUGUAUCUUGAUGAGGAAAUAUGCAUUGAUAUCGACAGCGUAUAAGUUGGAUAUUGGGAUCGUUAUGGGAUCUAUAUCUCAUAUGCAAAUUGCGAUUGACGAUAAUCAAGGCAAUCGCAUGUUUAUAUCUCAUGCUACGUGGAAGGCAUUUAUCGAGAAACGUAUAGAUAUCGAGCGAUUAAUACAGUCAACAAUCUCAUCAUCAUCAUCAUUGAUUCAAGAUCUAAAUGUGGAACUUGUUAAAAUAUGUGAUACGAAUAACGUAAAGUUAACAUUAAAUUAAUGCACAUGUUAGUACAUGUAACCAAUAACUGUGCUUUUCUUAUUUGAACUGGAGCAAUGUGUUGAGCAUGUAUUCUAUGAACUGAGUCAAUAUACGCACGGUGUUAGUAAAAAGUUCGAAUAUUUUGUGUUAUUUUUAAGACAAAAUUGUAUUAUUAAUAAAAGCGAUGCUGCAAACAUU
rnacentral:misc_RNA from 1 species